ACUUUUAAUGUCAUAAUUCUUCAAUUACAAUUUGUUGUAUGAAGAAAUAAGAGUUGCUUUGAACAACCCUUAGUCAAUGCAAACACUAGUGCUUGUUUUCUUUGUUAAAUGAACAAAGAACUUGAGAAGAAAGCACAAUGGCAUGGACACUUUAUGUGCCAUGAUUCUUCACUUACAAAUUGUUGUAUGAAUAAAUGAGAGUUGCCUUGAACAACUCUUGAAAGUUUGUAAUUAUGUUUAGAACAUAAUGGUUGGUUGACAAAAAUAGUUCAUCAACAUGGACUUAUGAUGAUUUUGAAUCAUUAAGUGUUGAAGUGUUAGACCACUUCAAGAGACAGAAACUAGGCAAGGACUUCACCUUUGUGUCCCUAUCCUAAUGGUUCACUAAGUUUAUUGUAAACUAUAUAGUGAACAAUAAACACAUGCUCUCCAAAAUGUCCCUAUCCUAAGGAUCAAAUCGUUUGAUUUCUCAUAAAGAUGUAAAUGAAUCUUUUUUUUACUAGGUUUACAAAAGAUUAGUGGGAGUUAAUCAUGUUCCUAAAAUUUAAAUAUAUAUUUGAUAUAUUAAUUUUGGAAAUGAAAAGAAUUCUUCUUCGUUAAAGUUAUGACUUUAAAAUGUUAUAUGAAGAUAGAAUGUAUAUGGGAGACAUAGUCUAUAUACAUGGGAUGGAAAUCUAUAUUGAUAGAUUUUAGGAUAUAGACAAAAGAUGAUAGGAAGUUUCUCAUAUGAUGAAGAACUUCAAUCAAAAGGACAACUCUAGUGAGACUAAGAAGUUGCUCUUCUCAAAGAGAACGUACUCUUUGACUCUCAAAGAAAUAAUGCGUAAAUAGAAUCCUUUAUGUGUAAGCAGAAAGGUGAUUUAUGUAUUUCAUAUUGUAUGAAAAACAUUGAUAUGAGUUGUACCUAGAACGGUACAAGACGAUAUCAGUGCAAGCCCAGGAUCAGAACCAUGACAACUGUCAAGUAAGUCCUUAAGUAUUUAAGAAAUACUAAAGGAUAGAUUCCUCAAAGAAUGAGGAAGAAUUAGAGUAACGUAAAGGAAGCGUAAAUGUAUUAGAUUAUGAAUCUAAUCCAUCAUUGGUUGUUUCUUCAUUAUGAAUGAAGAGAUAAACAGAUAUCUCUUUAUUAUGACUAAGAGAUAUUUGGAUGGAAACAUUAAAGUAAUGACUUUAGUGUGUUCCAUUAUGAAUGCAAAAUAUAUUGCCAUAUAGAAGCUUACAACAAUAUUGUUUGGAUGGGAAAGUUCAUUUAUGAACUCUCUAUUCGGUUCCAACCAGAAAGUGUAUCUAGUGUAUCGACACUAUGACACUAAUAAGGCGAUAGCUCAAGCCAGGGAAUCAAGGUCUCAUCAAGAUCCGAACUCAUAUGAGAGACUGAACCACAUGAUUGAGAAUCAUGUAUAAUGGUGACGUCGUUAUUCUCAAGGUUGCUUCUAUGGAUAACAUAUAGAUAUCCAUUGUCUAGGCCUACUACUCAGCCAUUUACGAAAUGACUACAGAAGAGGUAUCAUCACUGAUGACCAAGCUGAUUGGCUCUAGUGCAAGUAGUAGAUUGUUGGAAAUGUGCCCUAAAACCAAUCAUAUGAUGAUACUUUACGAACAUUUCACAAAGUUAAACUAAUGUAGUUUAAAUAUAAAGGGCAAAGAUUAUUGUUUGAGCCGUCUCAUAUAAAUGUGUUAUAAUGCUUAAACGAUAAGUCCAAGGAAUAUGUGAUUAGGAGAAUGCAAUCUAAAGAAGUUAGAUUCAUGAGACCAUUCUUUCGUAGACACAUCCUAAAUGUUCCUGAUCAUAGGAUUGCCAAUUGGGCAUUGACAGUCCGUUAAGAUCAGUACGUGCUGUGUCUUCUCUCAGGGAGAGUGACUAGUCUUGAGUCAUUGGUGUGUGUGACAUCAAGACAAGUACGUAGGUGCUCAAUAGAGAAUGAGUUCACUGAACACGAUCA
rnacentral:lncRNA from 1 species